UACGGAGGGUGCAAGCGUUAUCCGGAUUUACUGGGUUUAAAGGGUGCGUAGGCGGGCCUUUAAGUCAGUGGUGAAAUCCCCGGGCCUAACCCGGGAACUGCCAUUGAUACUAUUGGUCUUGAAUUCAGUUGAGGUGGGCGGAAUGUGUCGUGUAGCGGUGAAAUGCUUAGAUAUGACACAGAACACCGAUUGCGAAGGCAGCUCGCUAAACUGACAUUGACGCUGAGGCACGAAAGCGUGGGGAUCAAACAGGA
rnacentral:rRNA from 1 species